GCUCCACUUGCUCAGUCAGUAGAGCAUGAGACCUUUAAAUCUCGGGGUUGUGAGUUCGGGCCCCACAUUGGGCA